GCACAAGCGGUGGAGUAUGUGGUUUAAUUCGAUGCAACGCGAAGAACCUUACCUGGUCUUGACAUCCCGGAGACCCUUAGGAAACUAGGGGGUGCUUCCAUCUGGAAGAAAUCUGGAGACAGGUGCUGCAUGGCUGUCGUCAGCUCGUGUCGUGAGAUGUUGGGUUAAGUCCCGCAACGAGCGCAACCCUUGCCUUUAGUUGCCAGCAGUUCGGCUGGGCACUCUAAAGGGACUGCAGGUGUUAAACCGGAGGAAGGUGGGGAUGACGUCAAGUCCUCAUGGCCUUUAUGACCAGGGCUACACACGUACUACAAUGGCCGAUACAAAGGGCAGCGACACUGCGAGGUGAAGCCAAUCCCGUAAAAUCGGUCUCAGUCCGGAUUGGAGUCUGCAACUCGACUCCAUGAAGUUGGAAUCGCUAGUAAUCGUGGAUCAGCAUGCCACGGUGAAUACGUUCCCGGGCCUU
rnacentral:rRNA from 1 species